rnacentral:rRNA from 1 species
GAUGAACGCUGGCGGCGUGCCUAAUACAUGCAAGUCGAGCGAACGGACGAGAAGCUUGCUUCUCUGAUGUUAGCGGCGGACGGGUGAGUAACACGUGGAUAACCUACCUAUAAGACUUGGAUAACUUCGGGAAACCGUAGCUAAUACCGGAUAAUAUUUUGAACCGCAUGGUUCAAAAGUGAAAGACUGUCUUGCUGUCACUUAUAGAUGGAUCCGCGCUGCAUUAUCUAGUUGGUAAGGUAACGGCUUACCAAGGCAACGAUGCAUAGCCGACCUGAGAGGGUGAUCGGCCACACUGGAACUGAGACACGGUCCAGACUCCUACGGGAGGCAGCAGUAGGGAAUCUUCCGCAAUGGGAGAAAGCCUGACGGAGAAACGCCGCGUGAGUGCUGAAGGUCUUCGGAUCGUAAAACUCUGUUAUUAGGGAAGAACAUAUGUGUAAGUAACUGUGCACAUAUUGACGGUACCUAAUAAGAAAGCCACGGCUACCUACGUG